AAACCAACAGGGAUUGCCCUAGUAACGGCGAGUGAAGCGGCAACAGCUCAAAUUUGAAAUCUGGCCUUCGGGUCCGAGUUGUAAUUUGUAGAGGAUGCUUUUGGCGCGGUGCCUUCCGAGUUCCCUGGAACGGGACGCCUUAGAGGGUGAGAGCCCCGUACGGUUGGACAUUAAGCCUUUGUAAAGCUCCUUCGACGAGUCGAGUAGUUUGGGAAUGCUGCUCUAAAUGGGAGGUAAAUUUCUUCUAAAGCUAAAUAUUGGCCAGAGACCGAUAGCGCACAAGUAGAGUGAUCGAAAGAUGAAAAGCACUUUGAAAAGAGGGUUAAAUAGCACGUGAAAUUGUUGAAAGGGAAGCGUUUGCGACCAGACCUUUUCUUGGCGGAUCAUCCGGUGUUAUCACCGGUGCACUUCGCCAAGUCGAGGCCAGCAUCGGUUUCUGUAGGGGGAUAAAAGCCUGGGGAAUGUGGCUCCUUCGGGAGUGUUAUAGCCCUUCGCAUAAUACCCUUACGGGGACCGAGGACCGCGCUUUAUGCAAGGAUGCUGGCGUAAUGGUCGUCAACGAC
rnacentral:rRNA from 2 species